GAUGAACGCUAGCUACAGGCUUAACACAUGCAAGUCGAGGGGAAACGAUAUUGGAAGCUUGCUUCCGAUAGGCGUCGACCGGCGCACGGGUGAGUAACGCGUAUCCAACCUGCCCACCACUUGGGGAUAACCUUGCGAAAGUAAGACUAAUACCCAAUGAUAUCUCUAGAAGACAUCUGAAGGAGAUUAAAGAUUUAUCGGUGAUGGAUGGGGAUGCGUCUGAUUAGCUUGUUGGCGGGGUAACGGCCCACCAAGGCGACGAUCAGUAGGGGUUCUGAGAGGAAGGUCCCCCACAUUGGAACUGAGAUACGGUCCAAACUCCUACGGGAGGCAGCAGUGAGGAAUAUUGGUCAAUGGGCGAGAGCCUGAACCAGCCAAGUAGCGUGCAGGAUGACGGCCCUAUGGGUUGUAAACUGCUUUUAUAAGGGAAUAAAGUGAGCCUCGUGAGGCUUUUUGCAUGUACCUUAUGAAUAAGGACCGGCUAAUUCCGUGCCAGCCGCCGCCGUAA
rnacentral:rRNA from 1 species